UACGUAGGGAGCAAGCGUUGUCCGGAAUCAUUGGGCGUAAAGCGCGCGUAGGCGGCCCUGUAAGUCCGCUCUGAAAGUCAAAGGCUCAACCUUUGAAAGCGGGUGGAUACUGCAGGGCUAGAGUCCGGAAGAGGCGAGUGGAACUCCUGGUGUAGCGGUGGAAUGCGCAGAUAUCAGGAAGAACACCAACGGCGAAGGCAGCUCGCUGGGACGGUACUGACGCUAAGGCGCGAAAGCGUGGGGAGCGAACAGG
rnacentral:rRNA from 1 species